rnacentral:rRNA from 1 species
CCCGCUCUUUAAUCUGAAGACGUGAUGUGGACUGAAAAUAAGUAGGGAAGCACGUGAGCUGACUGUCAAGAAAAGCCGCUAUUGUUUGCAGGAUACCCGUACCGUAAACCGACACAGGUGGAUGAGGAGAGAAUCCUAAGGCCGACGGGAGAAGCAUUGUUAAGGAACUCGGCAAAAUGACUCCGUAACUUCGGGAGAAGGAGUGCCAGUAAGAUGGCCGCAGAGAAUUGGCCCAAGCAACUGUUUAGCAAAAACACAGGUCUAUGCAAAACCGAAAGGUGAGGUAUAUGGGCUGACGCCUGCCCGGUGCUGGAAGGUUAAGGUGAGAGGUUAGCGCAAGCGAAGCUUUGAACUUAAGCCCCAGUAAACGGCGGCCGUAACAAUAACGGUCCUAAGGUAGCGAAAUUCCUUGUCGGGUAAGUUCCGGCCCGCACGAAAGGCGUAAUGAUUUGGGCACUGUCUCAACAAUGCACCCGGUGAAAUUGAAAUACCAGUGAAGAUGCUGGUUACCUGCGCCAGGACGGAAAGACCCCAUGGAGCUUUACUCCAGCUUGAUACUGGGAUUCGGUAUUGCAUGUACAGGAUAGGUGGGAGGCUAGGAAAUGGUAACGCCAGUUGCCAUGGAGCCAAUGUUGGGAUACCACCCUUGCAGUACUGGGUUUCUAACCAGCAGCCGUGAUCCGGCUGGGGGACAAUGUCAGGUGGGGAGUUUGACUGGGGCGGUCGCCUCCGAAAGGGUAUCGGAGGCGCUCAAAGGUUCCCUCAGAAUGGUUGGAAACCAUUCGAAGAGUGCAAAGGCAGAAGGGAGCUUGACUGCGACACCGACGGGUGGAGCAGGUACGAAAGUAGGACUUAGUGAUCCGGUGGUAUAAAGUGGGAUUGCCAUCGCUCAACGGAUAAAAGCUACCCCUGGGAUAACAGGCUUAUCACUCCCAAGAGUUCACAUCGACGGAGUGGUUUGGCACCUCGAUGUCGGCUCAUCGCAUCCUGGGGCUGAAGUAGGUCCCAAGGGUUGGGCUGUUCGCCCAUUAAAGCGGUACGCGAGCUGGGUUCAGAACGUCGUGAGACAGUUCGGUCCCUAUCCGGCGUGGGCGUAAGAUAUUUGAGAGGAGCUGUCCUUAGUACGAGAGGACCGGGAUGGACUGGCCGCUGGUGUAUCUGUUGUCUUACCAAAGGCAUAGCAGAGUAGCCAAGCCGGGAAGGGAUAAACGCUGAAGGCAUCUAAGCGUGAAGCCCCCCUCAAGAUGAGAUAUCUCAUAACGUCAAGUUAGUAAGACCCCUUGAAGACGACGAGGUAGAUAGGGCAGAGGUGGAAGUGUGGUAACACAUGGAGCUGACUGUUACUAAUAGGUCGAGGGCAUAACCU